rnacentral:piRNA from 1 species
UGGAGCUGACAUUCUAGGGAAAAUGGA